rnacentral:lncRNA from 1 species
UGAGACAAGAGGUUUUGGGGUGAAUUGAGAGGAGUUUGGGGUGAAAUGAGAGGGUUUUCGGGUGAAGUGAGAGCGGUUUUGGGUGAGAUGAGAGGGGUUUCGGGUGAGAUGAGAAGAUUUGGGGGUGAAAUGAGAGGGGUUUGGGGUGAAAUUAGAGGUUUUGGGGUGAGAUGGGAUUUUGGGGUGAAAUUAGAGGGUUUGGGGUGAAAUGAGAGGGUUAUGGAGUGAGAUGAGGGGGUUUUGGGGUGAAAUGAGGGGGUUUGGGGUGAGAUGAGAGGAGUUUGGGGUGAGAUUAGGGGGUUCUGGGGUGAGAUGAGAGGAGUUUGGGGUGAAAUGAGAGGAUUUGGGGUGAAAUGAGGGGAGCUUGGGUGAGAUGAGGGGGUUUUGGGUGAGAUGAGAGGGGUUUGGGGGUGAAAUGAGAGGAGUUUGGAGUGAGAUGAGGGGGUUUUGGGGUGAAAUGAGGGGGGUUCGGGUGAAAUGAGAGGAGUUUGGGGUGAAAUUAGGGGGUUUUGGGUUGAAAUGAGAGGGUUUUGGGGUGAGAUGAGGGGAUUUUGGGUGAGAUGAGUGUGGUUUGGGGUGAAAUGUGAAGGGUUUGGGGUGAAAGAGGUUUUGGGGUGAGAUGAGGGAGUUUUGGGGUGAAAUGAGACGAGUUUGGGUUAAAUGAGAGGAUUUUGGGGUAAAUUGAGUUUUUUUGGGGGUGAAAUGAGAGGGGCUUGGGGUGAAAUGAGAAUUUGGGGUGAAAUUAAAGACUUUAGAAGAUUGUGGGGCUCACCGGACCCGUCCUGGGGCCCCCUUGGGCUGCCCUGAGGGGGCCCCGAGCCUCUGCCCCCCCCCCGGUCCGUGUGUCUGUCCGUCCUCUGCCCCCUCUGUUUGUCUUGGCCGCCCUCGGGCCCGCCUCGGUCACUGACAAAGUUCAGGGCCUUGGAAGGGAACCGGGGGGG